rnacentral:rRNA from 1 species
GACAGAGGAGCCAAGCGUUGUCCGGAGUAACUGGGCGUAAAGCGCACGCAGGUGGUCGCGCAAGUGCCAUGUGAAAGCCGGUGGCUUAACUACCGGAGGCCAUGGCAGACUGUGCAACUUGAACUCGUGAGAGGUCCGUGGAAUUGCCGGUGUAGUGGUGACAUGCGUAGAUAUCGGCAGGAACACCCAAGGGGAAGCCAGCGGACUGGCACGGUGUUGACACUGAGGUGCGACAGCGUGGGGAGCGAACCGG